rnacentral:rRNA from 1 species
AUUGAACGCUGGCGGCAGGCCUAACACAUGCAAGUCGAGCGGAUGAAGGGAGCUUGCUCCUGGAUUCAGCGGCGGACGGGUGAGUAAUGCCUAGGAAUCUGCCUGGUAGUGGGGGAUAACGUCCGGAAACGGGCGCUAAUACCGCAUACGUCCUGAGGGAGAAAGUGGGGGAUCUUCGGACCUCACGCUAUCAGAUGAGCCUAGGUCGGAUUAGCUAGUUGGUGGGGUAAAGGCCUACCAAGGCGACGAUCCGUAACUGGUCUGAGAGGGUGAUCAGUCACACUGGAACUGAGACACGGUCCAGACUCCUACGGGAGGCAGCAGUGGGGAAUAUUGGACAAUGGGCGAAAGCCUGAUCCAGCCAUGCCGCGUGUGUGAAGAAGGUCUUCGGAUUGUAAAGCACUUUAAGUUGGGGGAAAGGGAAGUAAGUUAAUACCUUGCUGUUUUGACGUUACCAACAAAAUAAGCACCGGCUAACUUCGUG